rnacentral:piRNA from 1 species
UGGCUGCAACGGACACCAGCUCCCA